UGAAAACAAAAAAUAUAAAAAGAAAGCGCGGAGACAACUGGGUUGAGAAAGAUAAGGAGCUGGUAAAAGAAAUGUUUGGUGUUAUUGAAAAAAAAAAACACAGCUACAAAUACCAACCAGCUAAAAAAGAAGGCGUGGAUUGAGCUUGAGGAGAAUUUCAAUAAUAUGUGCCAGGGAAGCAAAAGAAAUGUCAUGCAAUUAAAAUCACAAUUAACACUAACAAAAAUUCAAACCCAAAGAGAAAUAGAAUCGCAGAAAGAUAAAUGAAACUGGUGGUGGCCCUCAUCCAGCUGACGAAGAAAUGUCUGCAAAUGACAUAUGUGUUUGGCUUCCAAACGAAUUCGUAAUUGAUACCAACGAAUAUGAUUCUGAUAUUAUUAAGAACGUACUGUGUUCAAAAUGGCCAAAUCCAUGCAUACAUAUAACAUUAAUUUCGAAAUAACAACUCUUUUCAAAAUUUAAAAAUUCUAUUUCCAAU